AGGAAGCGGAAGACUAAUGACCGAAGCUUCAAGACUUUGACAUGUGUGAAAACAUGAAAUGACCCUUGGCUCUUAUUGUUCUUGCUGGUGUGGUAUGUUCACGGCUGAAAAGAUGGUCAGAAGGGGAAAGGAGGAAGUGAGAAGAAAGAAACAGGGAAAUGAUCAAUGCUUGAGAUAUUUUGCAGACCCUGCAUGUGAUGGAUCAGCUGACACCAUCCAGAUCGGUAAACUGGUUCAUCUGAUCUUGUGCCCUCCACCCAGGAACUGACUCAGCGCAAGAAGACAGCUUCGACUCCUUGUGAUUUCAUCCCUAACCAAUCAGCACUCCUGGCUCACUGGCUUCCCCCAACCCACCAAAUUGUCCUUAAAAACUCUGCUCUCCAAACGCUGGGGGAGACUGAUUUGAGUAAUAAUAAAACCCUGGUCUCCUGCA
ensembl:lncRNA PCED1B-AS1 PCED1B antisense RNA 1